rnacentral:rRNA from 1 species
AGAGUUUGAUCAUGGCUCAGAAUCAACGCUGGCGGCGUGCCUCAGACAUGCAAGUCGAACGAUUAAACUUGCCUUUGGGCAAGAUAUAAAGUGGCGCACGGGUGAGUAACACGUAAGUAAUCUGCCCUCGAGUGGGGAAUAACGUCGGGAAACCGACGCUAAUACCGCAUAAUGCAGCGGCACCGCAAGGUGACAGUUGUUAAAGGAGCAAUCCGCUUGAGGAGGAGCUUGCGGCAGAUUAGCUAGUUGGUAAGGUAACGGCUUACCAAGGCUACGAUCUGUAACCGGUCUAAGAGGACGGUCGGUCACACUGACACUGAAUAACGGGUCAGACUCCUACGGGAGGCAGCAGUCGGGAAUUUUGGGCAAUGGGCGAAAGCCUGACCCAGCAACGCCGCGUGAAGGAUGAAGUAUUUCGGUAUGUAAACUUCGAAAGAAUGGGAAGAAUCAAUGACGGUACCAUUUAUAAGGUCCGGCUAACUACGUGCCAGCAGCCGCGGUAAUACGUAGGGACCAAGCGUUGUUCGGAUUUACUGGGCGUAAAGGGCGCGUAGGCGGCAUGACAAGUCACUUGUGAAAUCUCCGGGCUUAACUCGGAACGGCCAAGUGAUACUGUCACGCUAGAGUGCAGAAGGGGCAAUCGGAAUUCUUGGUGUAGCGGUGAAAUGCGUAGAUAUCAAGAGGAACACCUGAGGUGAAGACGGGUUGCUGGGCUGACACUGACGCUGAGGCGCGAAAGCCAGGGGAGCAAACGGGAUUAGAUACCCCCGUAGUCC